rnacentral:RNase_P_RNA from 1 species
UGAGUUCGCCAGACAGUCGCCGCUUAAGCAUUGUUUAAGGGGAGGAAAGUCCGGGCUCCAUAGGGUAGAGUGCCAGGUAACGCCUGGGGGGCGCGAGCCUACGGAAAGUGCAGCAGAAAGUAAACCGCCUAAGUCAGUUCUCUGGCCGGUAAGGGUGAAAUGGUGCGGUAAGAGCGCACCGCGCAGCUGGCAACAGUCUGUGGCGAUGGUAAACCCCACUCGGAGCAAAACCAAAUAGGAAUCCUUCGGUGUGACCCGCACUGGAUUCGGGUAGGUUGCUUGAGGUAUGUGGUGACGCAUAUCCUAGAUGAAUGACUGUCCAAGACAGAACCCGGCUUAUCGGCGAACUUUUUAU